UACGGGGGGAGCAAGCGUUGUUCGGAUUUACUGGGCGUAAAGGGCGCGUAGGCGGCCACCGCAAGUCGACUGUGAAAUCUCCGGGCUUAACCCGGAAAGGUCAGCCGAUACUGCGAGGCUAGAGUGCAGAAGGGGCAACUGGAAUUCUCGGUGUAGCGGUGAAAUGCGUAGAUAUCGAGAGGAACACCUGCGGCGAAGGCGGGUUGCUGGGCUGACACUGACGCUGAUGCGCGAAAGCUAGGGGAGCGAACGGG
rnacentral:rRNA from 1 species